GUUCCGGGCCACCCAAUGGGUGCAGCGGCCCUCCGAAGGUCCCGCCCACCGGGCCGUCUCCUCAGGACUGGCCUCGGCUCUGCCGCGCUCUCCGCUCUGAGGCCGGCAGCACGCGGCGUGCCGUGCGCUUUGGUCUGCGGCAGGCUUUCUGUACCUCCUGUACGGAAAGGUUGUGUACCUGAGGAGUCCAUGUCAGCACUCUCAAACAGGACUAACUGUGCACUGCAGACAAGAUGGCACACCUGAGAAAACUUCUACUAUCCCUACGUUUUGCUCUUCUACAGGCAGCCAUUAGGCACGUGCAUGGCUUGUGGAGCUGUACAGCAAAUGCUGAUGUCUAUAGAAGAAUAAGAUGGACUUUCCAUCAGUCGCAGAAAGGAUUCAUACAGCUUUCAAAUACAUCGUUUAAAAUAAUCACAGUAGAUACUAAAGAAGGAAAUAAGAUAAGCCUACAUGUCAGCCUGUGAUUCACAUUGCCCUUUGAAGUUUUGCUUGUAGAUUCUUGUCUUUUUCUUAGAGCAAACUACUCAAGUUCACGUCCUGCUUUCUUCUUAGAGAUGUAAAUUCAGUUCAUUUUAAAGUAGAACUCAAACCAGGCCAUCUAGUGCUGUGGGUGUCCUUCAGUUUGCUUCAGUCUUUUGUCAGAGUUUCUAAAAAGGCAAAAGAUAGGUAGGGUUAGUUUGAAAAUCUUCGUAUUUUUUCUGAAAAUCCUGUUUUGCCAAUCUGUCCAGAAGUGCCUCAAGCACCCAAAUGAAGAAAGAUAAAGCUUUCAGGCAGUAAUGUUCUUCUGGGGCAUGCAUGCAUAAAAUUGUCUUAUUUGUGUAAUGGCCAUAGAAAGGGCCCCACAAAAGGAAUUCGGAGUGCAGAGAGAAGUGCUUAGGGCAAUCCUAGGGAUCCUGAAAAGCUGGGUGAAAGAAGAAGCCUGAGGUGACUGGAAUGCAUAAUAGAGUUUUGAAGCCUGACAAAACCCUUAAAAGAUUUGGAAAGGACAGCUUAAUAUAGUUGAGUGCAAAUAAAGAAUGAAGGGCAGUAAAGGUAAAAACAAAACUAAAAAACAAAACAAAAAGAAGCAACCAGUUGGUGGUGAGAGUUAGUACUCAGAACGUUAUUAGUGAGUCAUCUAGAAUGCUCUUAUUUACUCUGCUGUCAUUCUGUGAAGUUAAACUAGUGUUUUCUGAACAUCAGGCACUUCACUUGCUCUCUUAGUGGCAGCUUAGCUACUUAGCCCAGUCAUUUCUGAAAUGCUGUUCUGACUGUUUCACAUGACAAAUGUGAAAUGUGGCUUUUGUUUUUUGUUUGAGUUUCUGCAUUUAUGUCUUGUUUGAAAUUACCUUUAGCAUCCCCUUCAAGAAUGUCCUGUAGCAUCUUCUCCAAUGCUUGUCCAUAUUCUUGAUAUUCUUUUUCUGUUAUCUUGACACCAAUUUCAAAAGGAACGUUGAACUAUAAAAACAUUAAAGGAGUUUAACAGAUGAUCUUUGGACAAGGCACUAUAGGUUAAUUCUGCGUUAGGCGUGACAACAAGCAAGAGGUGGCAAAAUGAUGUGCAUUCGUUUAAUAGUGCUGAGACAUGUAAAGAUCAUCUGAUAAGCGCAGUACAGGGCUGCUGCAGACCGAACCGCCUGAUAAAGCGGAGGAGAGGAAACUGCAGGGAACUUGCAUUGUUAAUGUUAGUUCUGAAAUGCAAGUCCUUAACAGGAGAUCACCAUCUGCCUUUGUGCAGAUGCUUUUGAAUUACUUCAUGCUGUCAAUGCUGGCAGUUUUCAUGUGUCUUUUUCUACAUGCCCUUCAAGUUAAAUGACUAUGGCUUUCAUUGGUACAUCUCCUGUGGCAGGAAUUGUAUUCCUGCUCCAACAAAAUCAUUUGAACUUGUAUGUGAGCAGGAAUGAAAAAUACACACCUUGAUAUCAACACUGUUAUUGUCAUCUUCUCCCUCUGCUUUAUCUGUAUCCCAAAAGCUGUCUGUGCCUCGGCGAUGUAAUCUUGCUGUUGGUUUUCUUGUAUCCUUUUGUUGCUAGAAAGCAAGCAAAAUAGCACCUGUACAAAACUCCCAUAAUCAAAUUGGUCUGUAGCAGGGAAAAUAGAAUUCACAAUUAACGCAGAUGCAGCAAAUUAAUUAGAGCCUUCAUUGGCUUCUUUUAAAGUUAUGAUCAGUUGAAGCUAUCAGUGCCUUCUUUUAAAGUUGUGUGGAUGUGUAGGUAUACAAUAACUUACUGCUAUUCUGCAUCCACUUUGUCAGCAGUUUGUUUAAGGGUUCCUUAUGGAUCAGCCACCUUCCAAUUCAUUUUCAAAGUGUAGUCACCAAUUUAUUUAAACAGCUGCAUUUGUUUGUGGGUUUUUUUGUUCAGUUGGUUGGUUUGUUUCUAAGGUUAGUAGUUAUGUUUGCUCAUGUGAAUGGUUUGUUACAGUAAUCCUCUGGAAUCCCUCCUUCCUCUUCCAGAAACAUUAUCUUCCAAACCUCUGAACACUGUAAAGAAUUUGGCUUUAAGGAAUUAUAGAGGAAGACAAUUUCAAAAAAGCAUUAUUCUGAAUUUUUACCUGUAUGUUUUUAUAUGCGGGGCUUAAAAAACUAGAGCCAGCCAGAGCAGUCUCUGUCCCGAGGAUGCUGAGAAGGAGAAUUCCUAGCAGAACAACUCUGAGGAACAUGAUGGUCUUCACGAGGUGGUGCUUUAUUUCUCCUGAUUUGAAUGUUGUGCAAUUGUUUCUAAAAACGGAUAUAGAAAGAAGGCACACUUGUUGCAUGCAAAAAGGCAAUAUAUUCUGUCAAAAGAGAGCAUUACUUACCGCGUUCUCUUCUGUAACUGAGAUGUAAUAACUGGAGCAGACAGGUUAGCAGAGAGAAAUUAUGGAGGAAAACUGGCGAAAGCUUAGAAAUGCUCUGAAACUGUGCCGGUUCCCUUUGCUGCUUCACCAAACUGCUGCUUUCUGAAGCACCUUAUAUAGGAAGCGGGCUAUUUGUUCUGUGCCGUGCUAUUUCUGGAAAUGCAGCCUGACGUGUGUUCAAAUCCCUUGGAAACACGGGGUGCCUGCAAGACAGCGGCCGACAAAACCGUGAAAACGGCACACAUCUGUUGCUGAGUUCCUUUCUGUGUGUAAUGAAGUUGUGCAGGGAAUUGUGUGCUUCUCAUCUCCUUUUUCUGCCGUGGCGUUAUCCUCGUUCCUUCUAAAACCAGUAGCUGUAAUGGCCAUUUGUUGGAAAGUCCUGAGCCCUUUUACUGUUAUCUGGGGCAGCAUAGCAGAAAAGAAGCAGAACUGCAUUCCUGGCCUGCAGUAACAGCCACAUCUCUUGUUUUUGCCCCAAGUGUGCUUCCUCUCAUCUACAUUCUCUUCUGGGUUCUAUCAGAUUUCGUUGUCCUUUGUAGAAGGACUGAAAGCAAAGAUGUUUCCUAGAAACAUCAUUUCUGUUACUUUGAAAAUGAAACACUGCACUUUGAAGAUGUCACUGAAUAGCUGUAGCAAUGUCUGAGGCUCUGAAAACACCCCAUGAGGAUUUUCUUCAAACCUAAGGAACAGUAGGAAUGAAGUAGGAGCACACUGUAAAGGAUGACAAACUUACACCUUCUGUUGCCUGUGUUCUAACUAGACUUGAAUGAUGUGGCUGAUCUGUGGGAUUUAUUCCAUGCUACAGAUCACAAACCUUCAGUGGUAGGAUGGAGGAAGGCACGGGAAAUGUGUGAGAUGGGAAGAUGAGAAGGAAUUUUAAUUGAGUCAGAUUUGCUGUUGGAAAAACGUAACUCAGAGCAUCACUACACGGAGCACCCAUCCUAACUGCUCUGCCAGGGAAGACAGCCUCUUUAGCACAUCUGCAGGUUUUGAGACGAUUUUUUUUCUGGGGAUGCAGUUCCACGUUGUUCUCUUUCGCAGAUUCCCUGUUUCAUGUUACUGCUUCCUACCUGAUUAUUUCAAACCGGAUUUGUGGAGUGAUCCAAUUAUUAAAAGAAAAUCAUUUCUGAAACAUGUCUGUGGUAUCAGCUGGCUUGGUAGCACCAAGAAAGCUGGUUAGCUGCCGUAGGGCAGCUGAGAACAAACAGAGGCAAUGGAUGAAAGUUAGGUUCUGCAACAAAGUUAGGUUAAAAAGUUCUUGUAGAGUUAGAUCUCCAUAUUGACUUUUGUCUGAGAGCCUGCUGGCAGAGAACACGAAGGAGCACAAAGGAAGUAGGCACUGAUGAACCACUGGAGAGCUUCUGGCUCCUAACAGAAUUAUUCUAACAGAAGCCCCUUGCAUUUUCAUGGCAUACUCUGGAUUCUGGGCAGACUGGGCAUUCGUGAGCUCUUACAAAGCCAUACACAAAUAUCACACAUGAGAGCCA